rnacentral:rRNA from 1 species
GAACCAAAAUGGAGAGUUUGAUCCUGGCUCAGGAUGAACGCUGGCGGUAUGCUUAACACAUGCAAGUCGAACGGUCUUUUCGGAGAUAGUGGCGG